GGCCUCAAAUCGGGUGAGACUACCCGCUGAACUUAA
rnacentral:rRNA from 1 species